rnacentral:misc_RNA from 1 species
AGGGUAUUGUCGAAACCCGAACGGACAAUCAUGAACCAMUUCAACGGUACUUGGAGCCAUGUCUGGGGAGGGCGACAUUCAGUUGCCCGACCCACGCUGCCUCGAGCACCUCUAGCUGCUUCUUCUCCACAUCGAUGUGGGGUUGGGGGUGGCGAACAAGAACCGGGCGCGGUGGGCACCAAUGAAUACUAAUCUCGGGGAGCAGCGAGCGGUGGAAGCGCGACAGCGUGGACGGUGCACGACGCGAUCCUGCAUUAUCAUUAACUUUAACGACUCUUGGCAACAGAUAUCUUAGCUCUCACAUCGAUGAAGAACGUAGCAAAAUGCGAUACUUGGUGUGAAUUGCAGAAUCCCGUGAACCAUCGAGUCUUUGAACACAAGUUGCGCCCAAGGCCAUUCGGGUGAGGGAACGCCUGCCUGGGCAUCAUGCAACGCGUCGCUUCCGCGCACCCUGUGCGGAUGCAGACAUUGACCCCCGUGCCUCGUGACAAGGAGGGGUCAAAGUGUGAGCUGCUGAUCGGAUUAGACGUGGCGAGUGGUGGACAAACACUCUCGAGCUGAUUGUCGCGCACCAACAUCCGGCCACGAUGGUUCAAAAAGAACCCAUGCCGAUUGGGCCUUCCGAGCCCCCUCGGACCAAAACCCCAGUUAAGCAGGGCUACCCGCUGAGUUUAACAUAUAAUAGGCGGNGNAA